UAAUACAAAAUCAGACUAUGUGAGUUAGAUGACGUGAAUUAUACUGU
rnacentral:guide_RNA from 1 species